rnacentral:lncRNA from 1 species
GGACAGGAUGCAAACGGGGUUCAGCAUUUUGGGGCAGUCGGAAAAGGUUGCGCGUGCGCCGAAUGACACGUGCUCGAGACGUCUGCCCAUGCGUGGAGAGUGCCGUGUCUCCGUCGCCUGCGCACUGCGUCGCGCAGUCCGCGUCUUCUCGGCGGUCCCUCGCUCGUGAGCCGGUGCGUGGCUUCCGGCUUCCUGCCGCGGACUGCGCAGGAAGCCGUUCUGCGUCCAGUCCUGGCGGCUGUCUCUGGCGCCGGGCCUCGCCCUGAGCGCCCUGUCGCUCUUUUCCGCUACAGUCUCAUAUUGUGUUCUCGACAUAAUCAAAAUAUUGUCCUCUGUUCCACCUGAAUAGGUACUAC